GAGGGUAUAGCUCAGUGGUAGAGUGGAUGCUUAGCAAGCAUGAGGUCCUGGGUUCAAUCCCCAGUAUCCUUG
rnacentral:tRNA from 1 species